GGUCAAGUUAGUAAGGGUUUACGGUGGAUGCCUUGGGACCAAGGGCCGAUGAAGGGCGUAGCAAGACUACGAAAAGCCUCGGUGAGCUGUCUAGCAAGCUUAGCCGGGGAUACCCGAAUGGAGAAAACCGGUCCGGGUAAUGCCGGAUCAUCCCGACUUGUCGGGAGGGUAAGCAGGGGAACUGAAACAUCUAAGUACCCUGAGGAAAAUAAAUCAACAGAGAUUCCCCUAGUAGUGGCGAACGAACGGGGAACAGCCCAAACCUUGGCGGCUUAACGGACUGAGGUCCUAUGUCGUCAGGGGGUUGUAACGCGCAACUACCUCGACCUCAGUACGAGGAAAGAAGUAAAAAACCUUCGCUCUAGUCGAACACACCUGGAAGGGAUGACCAUAGAGGGUGAUAGUCCCGUAGACGAAAGGGUGAAGGCUUCUUUGUUGCGUUGUUGAGUACCACGGGACACGUGAAAUCUUGUGGGAAGCUGGGGGGACCACCCUCCAAGGCUAAAUACCCUUGGUCACCGAUAGUGAACCAGUACCGUGAGGGAAAGGUGAAAAGAACCCCGAGAGGGGAGUGAAAUAGACCUGAAACCGUAAACCUACAAGCCGUGGGAGCCUUGAGCUAGUCUUGGGGUGACCGCGUGCCUAUUGAAGAAUGAGCCGGCGAGUUAAUCUAGGCAGCUAGGUUAAGGAAUACAAGUUCCGGAGCCGAAGCGAAAGCGAGUCCUAAUAGGGCGCGACCUGGAUGGAGAUGAACCCAAAGGUUGAAGAUUCGUUGUGCGCUGAAGCCCGUUUAGGCGGGUAGAAGCAACCGAUGUGUCGGACGCCGGAGGUGAAGUUUCCGUUAUGUCCGGGGUGUUGUCUGGAUUAGACCCGAAACCGGGUGAGCUACCCAUGGCCAGGUUGAAGCCCCGAUAAUAUCGGGGUGGAGGACCGAACCCGUGUAUGUUGCAAAAUGCUGGGAUGAGCUGUGGGUAGAGGUGAAAUGCUAAUCGAACCCGGAGAUAGCUGGUUCUCCCCGAAAUGUAUUUAGGUACAGCCUCAGUGUAGUCUUGGGGAGGUAGGGCUCUGGAUGGGUAAGGGACCGUGAGGUUACCAAACUCAACCAAACCACAAAUGCCCUAAGAUGUUCGCUGGGAGUGAGACAGUGGGGGAUAAGCUCCAUUGUCGAAAGGGAAACAGCCCAGACCGCAGGCUAAGGUCCCGAAGUGUGGACUAAGUGUGAAAGGAAGUGGGGUCACUAAAACAGCUAGGAGGUUGGCUUAGAAGCAGCCACCCUUUAAAGAGUGCGUAACAGCUCACUAGUCGAGGGG
rnacentral:rRNA from 1 species